AUUGAACGCUGGCGGCAUGCUUUACACAUGCAAGUCGAACGGUACCAGGGUGCUUGCACCGCUGACGAGUGGCGAACGGGUGAGUAAUGCAUCGGAAUGUACCGUGUAAUGGGGGAUAGCUCGGCGAAAGCCGGAUUAAUACCGCAUACGCCCUGAGGGGGAAAGUGGGGGACCGAAAGGCCUCACGUUAUACGAGCAGCCGAUGUCUGAUUAGCUAGUUGGUGAGGUAAAGGCUCACCAAGGCGUCGAUCAGUAGCGGGUCUGAGAGGAUGAUCCGCCACACUGGGACUGAGACACGGCCCAGACUCCUACGGGAGGCAGCAGUGGGGAAUUUUGGACAAUGGGAGCAAGCAUGAUCCAGCCAUGCCGCGUGUCUGAAGAAGGCCUUCGGGUUGUAAAGGACUUUUGUCCGGGAGCAAAUCCUAGUGGUUAAUACCUACUGGGGCUGAGAGUACCGGAAGAAUAAGCACCGGAUAACUACGUG
rnacentral:rRNA from 1 species